UACGAAGGUGGCAAGCGUUGUUCGGAUUUACUGGGCGUACAGGGAGCGUAGGCGGUUCGGUAAGCCCUCUGUGAAAUCCCCGGGCUCAACCCGGGAACUGCGUCCGAGACUGGAAGGCUCGAAUCCGGGAGAGGGAUGUGGAAUUCCAGGUGUAGCGGUGAAAUGCGUAGAUAUCUGGAGGAACAUCGGUGGCGAAGGCGGCAUCCUGGACCGGUAUUGACGCUGAGGCGCGAAAGCCAGGGAGCAAACGGG
rnacentral:rRNA from 1 species